AAUUAGCAGAGUUGUAGCAGAUUGCAACACAAAAGGGUUUGUCGAUGACAAGUCAGCUGUGAUUCUUGUGCAAGAAUUUGUUUCAAAACUUGUGGAGCUAAAAGGUGAAUCUCCAAGUUCUUCUGACCAAAAGAAUUUGGCGUCAGCAAUUAUUCAAUAUAUUCCAUGUUGGCGAUACGCUGGGUCAACUGAAGGCUUGGAUAUACUUUUUGAUGAAAUUGGACGGUCAGGACUAAUCCAACGGAGAUUGAGGACAAUUCACCAAAAACUGAAAACCACUGAAAAAA